rnacentral:rRNA from 1 species
AACGAACGUUGGCGGCGUGGAUUAGGCAUGCAAGUCGAACGCGAAUCCCUGGGCAACUGGGGAGGAGAGUGGCGAAAGGGGCAGUAAGGCGUGGGUAACCUACCCUCCGGGCCGGGAUAGCUUAGGGAAACUGAAGGUAAUACCGGGCGACGCAGCGAGAUCGCAUGGUCUUGCUGCCAAAGGUCCGCCGCCGGGGGAGGGGCUCACGUGGUAUUAGCUAGACGGCGGGGUAACGGCCCACCGUGGCAAAGAUGCCUAGCAGGUGUGAGAGCACGACCGGCGCCACUGGCACUGAGACACUGGCCAGACACCUACGGGUGGCUGCAGUCGAGGAUCUUCGGCAAUGGGCGCAAGCCUGACCGAGCGACGCCGCGUGUGCGAUGAAGGCCUUCGGGUUGUAAAGCACUGUCGAGGGGGAGGAAGCCGCAAGGUUGACCUAUCCCUGGAGGAAGCACGGGCUAAGUUCGUG